rnacentral:lncRNA from 1 species
GCUUGGUUCUCUCGCUAAGGGGCUGUUUGGUUGCAUGUAGUUGCAGCUGCAUUGCAGUUGUAAACUAUAUGUAAAUGUAAAUUUCGUGUUUGGUUUAAUGUAUUUAACUCCAAAUAUUGCAAUAGGAACUGCAAGAGGAGACCCAACUGCAGCAAUUCGAACUACGCCCAAAUUGGUCGUAGUUCCAACUAUAGCAGUUGGAGAGAGUAACUUUAAAUAAAAGAUAUACUUACCUCCUCAAUAUUUUUAAAAUAAAAAUUAUUUUUCUUUUUUACAUUAGAGGUAAUCUCACCAUCAUAUAUAUAAAAUAAUAAAAUUUUAAAAAUUAUUUUUCAACUACAUGCAACCAAACAAAUUAUUUAUACUUGCAGCGCUUUCUACUACAUCCAACCAAAUAAGAUUCAUGUAGUCAUAGCUGCUGCAUUUUCAACUGCAUGCAUCUCUAACUACACUGCAUUUAUAAUUACAUCUAACCAAACGGCCCCUAAAACUCUUUUAAUUAGUCUAGAGAG